CAACAAAUUCGGGUAUUAGUGACCAAAUGUUAGUGACCACUUUAAUAUUGGUCACAAAUACUAUUGAAUUAAUGACCAAUACUACCAGUUGGUCACUAACAAUUUUAGAACCAACAAAAUUCAUUUACCCGCCCAUUGUUCAAACUUUAAUGACCAAAAAUUUUAAUACUAGUGACCAUUCAUGUUGGGUCACUGAUAUUUCUGAACUUCACAGUAAGUGGUUUCCUUUUAGUGACCAAAACUUUUCAGUUGGAGGGAUUUUUUCUCUUAAACCUUGGAGUAGGCGGGCUCUUAAAAAAUCAAAGUCUUUUCCAAGCGCGGCAUGCUAAAGCGCUAUUUUCAAGUAAAGACCCAAGAAAAUUAAAAUCCCUAGUUCGCACUUAAGAGGGGUCUGAGAUCUUCAUCGUCCUUCUCGGCUUCUCCCUCACUCCUCUGUUCUGUUCUCGAGUCAUGGUGGGUCGAGCCCUGAAUUCCGACCACCUUGGACAGCCCAUACGGGCCGGUGACCGUGUGACUCGACCUCAAUUUACUGGAUAGAGAUCCCAGAGUUAGCCGCCGUGUUAUGGGCUUCGAGCCGAGCAAAUUACUAUUCGGUUUCGAUAUCCUGGAUUAUAGGUUUGUUUUUGGACCAUAUAGAGGAAGAUGAGAAAUCAAUUGUUAUGCGAAGCUGAGGCUAGUUUGAAUUAUAUAUUGGUGGUUGGAAGACCUUUUGAUAAGCCUUGUGGUUGCAUUUUAGACUUGGCUGAAUCUAAUCGCUGACUUGGAGUUUAUUGUACCAGCAAGAAAACUGUACCAAAUAUUUGCUCAAAUGGUAAAUGCGAAGGACUUGGUAAAAAAAAAAAUGCUUGAUCCUGACCCGAAGAAGCGGCUGCCAGCUCAAGAAGUACUUGCUAAUUAGAGUAAUCUGAUCUGUUAUAUAAUGGCAAAGAUAUAUUUUUGCAAAUGUUUAUUACUUUACAUUAUAACUUCCACUCAAUUCUUUUCAUGCAGAUCAUCCUUGGAUACAAAAUGCCAAGAAGGCCCCAAAUGCUCCACUUGGUGAGACUGUGAGACAAAGGCUGAAACAAUUUUCUGUAAUGAACAAACUGAAAAAAAGAGCUCUUGGGGUCAUAGCCGAGCAUUUGACAGUUGAGGAAGUAGCUGGCAUAAAAGAGGCAUUUCAACUGAUGGAUACUGACAACAAAGGCAAGGUAUCCCUCGAUCAGGUUCGAAAUGGAAUACAAAAACUCGACCAGCAGGUUCCUGACCCGAAUAUACAAAUACUAAUGGAAGCUGUAAGCAUCAAUUUGUGCUUCAUGGCGUAACAGGGUAUUUGUUUGACUGCAUUUAUUUACAUCCAUAGUUGAACUACAAAUAUAAAUUACUCUUUGGUUACUCCCCUUAACCAUAGUUGAACUUCUUACCUGCUUUAUGUACAUCCAUGUCAGUAGAUUUGAUUGAGUUUAGGUCUAGCUUGUACUAAAUUUCAGUGUUAAGAACAGAUUCAAAAUGAGGAGUUAAGGACAGUCAAAGCCGGUGCAGGUCAACAAAAUGAAGAGAUAGAGGCAAUGAAGACUAGAGCCGCUCAACAAAAUGAAGAGUUAGAGGCACUAAAGGCAAGACAAAAUCAUACUGACACUUUUACUUAAACUGAUGGAGCAAUUUUUCUCUCAAAACUGAAGCUAUGCAUACAUGAUUCACUUUUGUUGUUGCAAUUAUAUUAUCAUAAAACAUAAUUAUAGUGCAUAUAGUGAAUACUAGACCUUUCUUAGAUGCAACUCUUACCUACAAUAGGAUUAAGAUUAUAACUUGCUGUAUGUUUUGUUAUAUUGCAGAUGGUCAAACAAGUACAUGUUGCAAACUAUCAUUGAAGGCUUGUUGAACUUCUAGAAAGACUUAUAUCUAUUCCUGUUUAUUUUGAAAUUGCUAUGAAGGAUGGAUAUUGACAAUUGUAUAUUUUGGAUUUGCGAAGUUAUUAUUUCAUGGAGUUCAUGUCUUAUUG